rnacentral:rRNA from 1 species
AAAUUGAAGAGUUUGAUCAUGGCUCAGAUUGAACGCUGGCGGCAGGCCUAACACAUGCAAGUCGAACGGUAACAGGAAACAGCUUGCUAUUUCGCUGACGAGUGGCGGACGGGUGAGUAAUGUCUGGGAAACUGCCUGAUGGAGGGGGAUAACUACUGGAAACGGUAGCUAAUACCGCAUAACGUCGCAAGACCAAAGAGGGGGACCUUCAGGCCUCUUGCCAUCGGAUGUGCCCAGAUGGGAUUAGCUUGUUGGUGGGGUAACGGCUCACC